rnacentral:rRNA from 1 species
GACGAACGCUGGCGGCGCGCCUAACACAUGCAAGUCGAACGAGCGAGAGAGAGCUUGCUUUCUCGAGCGAGUGGCGAACGGGUGAGUAACGCGUGAGGAACCUGCCUCAAAGAGGGGGACAACAGUUGGAAACUACUGCUAAUACCGCAUAAGCCCACGGUGCCGCAUGGCACAGAGGGAAAAGGAGCAAUCCGCUUUGAGAUGGCCUCGCGUCCGAUUAGCUAGUUGGUGAGGUAAUGGCCCACCAAGGCGACGAUCGGGAGCCGUAAUGAGAGGUUGAACGACCACACAGGAGAUAAGACACAGCCCAGAAUCCUACGAGAGGGAGGAGAGGGGGAUAUAGCACAAUGGGGGAAACGCUGAUGCAGCGACGCCGGGUAGAAGAAGAAGGUCGUCGGAUAGUAAACUCCUGUUGUAGGGGAAGAUAAUGACGGUACCCAACAAGGAAGUGACGGCUAACUACGUG